AGCAUAAUCAUUAGUUUUUUAAUUGAAAGCUGGWAUGAAARGUUGGAUGAGAAAAUAACUGUCUCUAUUUAAGUUUUUUARAAUUUUAUUUUUAAGUUAAAAAGCUUAAAUUUUUAUAGAAGACGAGAAGACCCUAUAGAGUUUUAUAUUUUAUAUUUUUAAAGUUUUAAGAAUUUUAAAUUUUUGAGAUUAUAAAAUAUUUAGUUGGGGUGAUUGAAAAAUUUAAUUAACUUUUUUUGUAUUAAAACAUUAAUAUAUGAAAAUUUGAUCCUUUAGUGUAAAGAUUAAAAGAUGAAAUUACCUUAGGGAUAACAGCGUAAUUUUUUUUGAGAGUUCAAAUCGAAAAAAAAGAUUGCGACCUCGAUGUUGGAUUAAAAUAAAUUUUUGGUGUAGGAGCUAAAGAAAUUAGGUCUGUUCGACCUUUAAAAUUUUACAUGAUCUGAGUUUAAACCGGUGUGAGCCAGGU
rnacentral:rRNA from 1 species